UACGAAGGGGGCUAGCGUUGCUCGGAAUCACUGGGCGUAAAGCGCACGUAGGCGGAUUGCUAAGUCAGGGGUGAAAUCCUGGAGCUCAACUCCAGAACUGCCUUUGAUACUGGCGACCUUGAGUCCGGGAGAGGUGAGUGGAACUGCGAGUGUAGAGGUGAAAUUCGUAGAUAUUCGCAAGAACACCAGUGGCGAAGGCGGCUCACUGGCCCAUUUUUGACGCUGAGGCGCGAAAGCGUGGGGAGCAAACAGG
rnacentral:rRNA from 1 species